rnacentral:rRNA from 1 species
CUGACUCUGCGAUUACAUAGCAGACUCCGACUUCAUGGCCGUCGAGUUGCAGACCCCAAUCCGAACUGAGACUGGCUUUUUGAGAUUCGCUCACCCUUACAGGUUCGCAGCUCUUUGUACCAGCCAUUGUAGCAUGCGUGAAGCCCUGGACAUAAGGGGCAUGAUGACUUGACGUCAUCCCCACCUUCCUCCGAGUUGACCCCGGCGGUCUCCUAUGAGUCCCCGGCAUUAUCCGCUGGCAACAUAGGACGAGGGUUGCGCUCGUUGCGGGACUUAACCCAACAUCUCACGACACGAGCUGACGACAGCCAUGCACCACCUGUAUACCGACCAAAAAGGGGCACCUAUCUCUAGAUGUUUCCGGUAUAUGUCAAACCCAGGUAAGGUUCUUCGCGUUGCAUCGAAUUAAUCCGCAUGCUCCGCCGCUUGUGCGGGGCCCCGUCAAUUCCUUUGAGUUUUAGCCUUGCGGCCGUACUCCCCAGGCGGGGUACUUAAUGCGUUAGCUGCGGCACGGAGAACGUGGAAUGUUCCCCACACCUAGUACCCACCGUUUACGGCGUGGGACUACCAGGGUAUCUAAGCCUGUUUGCUCCCCACGCUUUCGCUUCUCAGCGUCAGGAAA